UGGCAACGGAAUGUCGGCGGAACCACCUGACUCUUAAUCAGCGGGUCCACGGUUCGAGUCCGUGAUCACCCACCA
rnacentral:tRNA from 1 species